rnacentral:lncRNA from 1 species
AUGGGGAGGAAAAAAAAAAAGAGCCGCGGUUCCAGGAUGCCUUCCCCCCGCCUCCCUCCCGCUUUUCCUUUUCUUCUCUUCCCCUCCCUCUCCUUAGUUUUCCACCUCUUCCUCCCCCGUCCUUUCAGAGCCCCUCCCGGGGGAGAGUUUCCCAUCAAGGUCGCCCCCGGGCUCGGAGCGACGAGGCGACGCGCGUGUGUCCCCGUCGGGUCCCUCUGGGGGGGUCCUCGUCAGGUCCCGGCUGACGAGCGGGGGGCAGAGCUGGGGGGGGGGGGGCCGGGGGUCGGGGGUCGCGGGGGAGCUGCAGCCGCAGCCGGGGGGGGCCGGGCGGGCGGGGGGGAGGGCCCCGGGGCAGGGGUGGAUGGGGACGGGGGCGGCGGGGGCCCGAGAGGUCAGCGCAGAGGGAGAGCGGACAGGGGAGGGAAGGGCGCUGGGACCUGGAGGGAGAGGAGGAGGGAGGAGGAGGAGGAGGAGGAGGAGGAGGAGGAGAGGGAGGAGGGAGGAGGAGGAGGAGGAGGAGGGAAAGGAGGAGGGAGAAGGAGGAGGGAGGGAGGAGGGAGGGAGGAGGAGGAGGAGGGAGGAGGAGGAGGAGGAGGGAGGAGGGAGGAGGAGGAGGAGGAGGAGGGAAAGGAGGAGGGAGGAAGGAGGAGGAGGAGGAGGGAGGAGGAGGAGGAGGAGGGCGGGGGCGCCCGGGGGAAGCCGGAUCCCCAAUCCCCGAGCGGCUCGCCCGGCAGCGCUCCGCUCCGCUCCGGCUCCGGGUUCAGAUCCGGCCCGGGCUGCGGCUCCGAGUCCAGCCCGGGCUCCGGCUCCGCCGGCAGCUCCGGCUCCGGGGCUCCGGCUCACAUCCCGGCUCGGGGCUCCGCUCCGGCUCCGGCUGCGGGACCCGCGCGGGCUCGGACGCCCCUCCGGCUCCGGGUUCCGAUCCGGCCCGGUCUCCGGCUCGACUGCCGCUCCGGCUCCGCCUCGGCUCCAGCUCAGGUUUCGGCCGCGGGUCCCGCGCGGGCUCCGGCUCCCGCCCCGGCGUGGGCCCCGGCGUGGGCCCGCUCUCCGGACCGCGGGGACCCGUCGGGGCGCAGCUGCCCACCUGCCCCCAAACCUCAACCUCGCCCCUCUCUCCUAGCCCCCGUCCCCUGUCUCCUAGCCCCCGUCCCCUCUCUCCUAGCCCCCGUCCCCUGUCUCCUAGCCCCCGUCCCCUGUCUCCUAGCCCCCGUCCCCUGUCUCCUAGCCCCCGGCCCCUGUCUCCUAGCCCCCGUCCCCUCUCUCCUAGCCCCCGUCCCCUCUGUCCCAGCCGCCCCGGUCCAGUUGUCAGUCCCCUUUCCGCCUAGCUUAGCCCUCAGCCCCAAGCCCGGGUUGUUGGCCGCUAGCUCCCAGUCCCGGCCCAGCCCGGCCCGCCCCUCGUUCCCGGCCCCCCAGCUCAUCUCUCCUAGCCCCCGGCCCACCAGCGCAGCCCCUCUCUCCCCCAGCCCCCAGCCCGGCGCCUCCCCCCUCUCUCCUAAGCCCCAGUCCCUCACCCCCUCGGCCCUCUCUCCUAGCUCCCGGCCUCCCAGCGCAGCCCGGCCCGUCUGUCCUGGCCCCCAGCCCAUCCCCUCUCUCCUCUGUCCUGCCCCCAGCCCAUCCCGUCUCUCCUCUGUCCUAGCCCCCAGCCCAUCCCGUCUCUCCUCUGUCCUGGCCCCCAGCCCAUCCCGUCUCUCCUCUGUCCUAGCCCCCAGCCCAUCCCGUCUCUCCUCUGUCCUGGCCCCCAGCCCAUCCCGUCUCUCCUCUGUCCUAGCCCCCAGCCCAUCCCGUCUCUCCUCUCUCCUCGCCCGGUCCAGCCCAUCCCGUCUCUCCUCUCUCCUAACCCCCAGCCCAUCCCCUCUCUCCUCUGUCCUGCCCCCAGCCCAUCCCGUCUCUCCUCUGUCCUGGCCCCCAGCCCAUCCCGUCUCUCCUCUCUCCUAG